ACGAGUGGCGAACGGGUGAGUAAUACAUCGGAACGUGCCCAGUCGUGGGGGAUAACUACUCGAAAGAGUAGCUAAUACCGCAUACGAUCUGAGGAUGAAAGCGGGGGACCUUCGGGCCUCGCGCGAUUGGAGCGGCCGAUGGCAGAUUAGGUAGUUGGUGGGAUAAAAGCUUACCAAGCCGACGAUCUGUAGCUGGUCUGAGAGGACGACCAGCCACACUGGGACUGAGACACGGCCCAGACUCCUACGGGAGGCAGCAGUGGGGAAUUUUGGACAAUGGGCGAAAGCCUGAUCCAGCAAUGCCGCGUGCAGGAUGAAGGCCUUCGGGUUGUAAACUGCUUUUGUACGGAACGAAAAAGCUCCUUCUAAUACAGGGGGCCCAUGACGGUACCGUAAGAAUAAGCACCGGCUAACUACGUGCCAGCAGCCGCGGUAAUACGUAGGGUGCGAGCGUUAAUCGGAAUUACUGGGCGUAAAGCGUGCGCAGGCGGUUAUGUAAGACAGAUGUGAAAUCCCCGGGCUCAACCUGGGAACUGCAUUUGUGACUGCAUGGCUAGAGUACGGUAGAGGGGGAUGGAAUUCCGCGUGUAGCAGUGAAAUGCGUAGAUAUGCGGAGGAACACCGAUGGCGAAGGCAAUCCC
rnacentral:rRNA from 1 species